AUUUUUAUUUAUUUUUGGGUAGAGAAGGGUUAGGGUUAAUAAGUAAUGUACUUGAGCUAGAAGGAGGAUGGAAAAUUGACAGGGUGAUUUUCUGAACAAAUAUUGACCAUUCAUGUGCUAUAUGAAAAGAAAAGAAAGCAUGAGAAAAUAGAAGAGAGGGAGGGCCCCCUGCUGCCAAGCACAACAGAAUAGGAAUAUAUAGCCAUAUCCAUGUUCUAAUUUCUCUUUCAUACAGAUGCAUAUAUUCUUCUUCUCCAUCACAUGUGAGCUAUUGGUGAUGGA
rnacentral:misc_RNA from 1 species